rnacentral:rRNA from 1 species
AGUGAACGCUGGCGGUAGGCCUAACACAUGCAAGUCGAACGGCAGCACAGGAGAGCUUGCUCUCUGGGUGGCGAGUGGCGGACGGGUGAGGAAUACAUCGGAAUCUACUCUGUCGUGGGGGAUAACGUAGGGAAACUUGCGCUAAUACCGCAUACGACCUACGGGUGAAAGCAGGGGACCUUCGGGCCUUGCGCGAUUGAAUGAGCCGAUGUCGGAUUAGCUAGUUGGCGGGGUAAAGGCCCACCAAGGCGACGAUCCGUAGCUGGUCUGAGAGGAUGAUCCGCCACACUGGAACUGAGACACGGUCCAGACUCCUACGGGAGGCAGCAGUGGGGAAUUUUGGACAAUGGGGGCAACCCUGAUCCAGCCAUGCCGCGUGAGUGAAGAAGGCCUUCGGGUUGUAAAGCUCUUUCGGCCGGGAAGAAAUCGCACGGGCUAAUACCCUGUGUGGAUGACGGUACCGGAAUAAGAAGCACCGGCUAACUACGUGCCAGCAGCCGCAGUAA